GAGAAAACUGCGGUCUCUAUGGCAACCGGACGGACGCAACGUUGCCCUAGUUAGAAGACUGCGCAAGCGCGAAUGGAACCUAUACAGCUAACAAGGGGACCUUGUUUUUCUAUUCAAAGAAAUUGUUUUCAGCCCUAGGAGCAGCCAUACUGAAUUCUGUUCAAAAAUAAAAAUGAGGGAAGAAAAGCAAGUUGGCACUGGGCCAGGAGCAGACCUCUCAUCAUCUCAUGUUCAAGGAAGACUUCAAAACAGCUGAUUGCAUCAGUCUGGUGGGAAACGCUGGGACGGCUAUUGAGCAACGUGUACAUGCUCUAAGUCUAUGGAAUGACUAGAUCAGACCCACUGAGGUCUGUUGCUCUUGCAUGGCCUAGCCCUUCAUCUUGUGGCUUUCAGAAGAUGAAGAAACAUUCCUAAGGAGACUUCGAGGUGACAUCAGCCUGAAGCAGCAGCAGACAGAUCUGGGACCGGACCGUGCACAGUGAAGGCUUGAAGGGCCUGCUGCUGAACCUUGGCAACAUCUCUCCGAAAGGAGGCGGGAGAUCUGCAUCCCAGCCACAGGCUGCUUGUCCCAGACUCCACUGCACACCUGCCCAGUCCAGCUCCAGAACGGGGUCUUUGCGCUUAGACCCAUUUCCUUUGCUGAUGAGAUUCAAGAAUGGUGUUUUGUGCUGUGCCUGAGUGCCCGGUGAAUAGAUCCCUUGUGUUCUAGAAGAAUCGCAGUGCCUGGUUGCUCAUCACCAUUGCUGGCCCUGGCAGCUCUGAGGGGAAACCAGCUUGGAUUUCAGCCUCGGGGAUUAACAUCUCAGAGGCACAUAAAGCUGCCUGAAAGUCAAGAGGAGGCAGGGCGUUGGAAGAGCUUCCCACACGUACGGAGCAUCACCUCCUGCAGUGCCUGGAACUCCGAGGUGAGGAACUGAGCGCCUAGAGGACUGUUGGCCCACUGGACACAGAGAUCUUUGGUGUGGGGUUGAGAUUUAAACUGGUCUGCUGGAAGCUGAAGAAAUGACUCAGCAGUGAAGAGCACAUACUAUUCUUACAAAACAUCAGAAUUCGAUUUCCGGCAUCCACAUCAAGAGUCUCCUGGAACUCCAACUCCUAGGGGAUCCAGUGUCCCCUCUGGUCUCCGUGG
rnacentral:lncRNA from 1 species